rnacentral:rRNA from 1 species
CCUACGGGUGGCAGCAGUGGGGAAUAUUGGACAAUGGGCGAAAGCCUGAUCCAGCCAUGCCGCGUGUGUGAAGAAGGCCUUCGGGUUGUAAAGCACUUUCAGUGGGGAAGAAAGCCUUGGGGCUAAUACCCUCGAGGAAGGACAUCACCCACAGAAGAAGCACCGGCUAACUCCGUGCCAGCAGCCGCGGUAAUACGGAGGGUGCGAGCGUUAAUCGGAAUUACUGGGCGUAAAGCGCGCGUAGGCGGUCUGAUAAGCCGGUUGUGAAAGCCCCGGGCUCAACCUGGGAACGGCAUCCGGAACUGUCAGGCUAGAGUGCAGGAGAGGAAAGUAGAAUUCCCGGUGUAGCGGUGAAAUGCGUAGAGAUCGGGAGGAAUACCAGUGGCGAAGGCGGCCUUCUGGACUGACACUGACGCCGAGGUGCGAAAGCGUGGGUAGCAAACAGGAUUAGAUACCCUAGUAGUC